AUUGAACGCUGGCGGCAUGCCUUACACACGCAAGUCGAACGGUAACAGGUCUUCGGAUGCUGACGAGUGGCGAACGGGUGAGUAAUACAUCGGAACGUGCCUAGUAGUGGGGGAUAACUACUCGAAAGAGUGGCUAAUACCGCAUGAGAUCUACGGAUGAAAGCAGGGGAUCGCAAGACCUUGUGCUACUAGAGCGGCCGAUGGCAGAUUAGGUAGUUGGGGGGGUAAAAGCUUACCAAGCCGACGAUCUGUAGCUGGUCUGAGAGGACGAUCAGCCACACUGGGACUGAGACACGGCCCAGACUCCUACGGGAGGCAGCAGUGGGGAAUUUUGGACAAUGGCCGAAAGCCUGAUCCAGCAAUGCCGCGUGCAGGAUGAAGGCCUUCGGGUUGUAAACUGCUUUUGUACGGAACGAAAAGCCCCGGGUUAAUACCCUGGGGUCAUGACGGUACCGUAAGAAUAAGCACCGGCUAACUACGUGCCAGCCGCCGCCGUAA
rnacentral:rRNA from 1 species